rnacentral:tRNA from 1 species
GAUAGUGUGGCCGAGUGGUCUUUGGCGCUGGUUUUAGGCACCAGUCUCUUCGGAGGCAAGGGUUCGAAUCCCUUCACUGUCA